GACGAACGCUGGCGGCGUGCUUAACACAUGCAAGUCGAGCGAUGAAGCACCUUCGGGUGUGGAUUAGCGGCGAACGGGUGAGGAACACGUGAGGAAUCUGCCUUCCACUCUGGGAUAACUCCGGGAAACCGGGGCUAAUACCGGAUAUUUUCAACUGGCGGCAUCGCCGGUUGAAGAAAGUUUUUCGGUGGAAGAUGACCUCGCGGCCUAUCAGCUUGUUGGUGAGGUAAAGGCUCACCAAGGCGACGACGGGUAGCCGGCCUGAGAGGGGAACCGGCCACACUGGGACUGAGACACGGCCCAGACUCCUACGGGAGGCAGCAGUGGGGAAUAUUGGGCAAUGGAGGAAACUCUGACCCAGCGACGCCGCGUGAGGGAUGAAGGCCUUCGGGUUGUAAACCUCUUUCAGCAGGGAAUAAGCGAAAGUGAAGGUACCUGCAGAAGAAGCACCGGCUAACUAUGUGCCAGCCGCCGCGGUAA
rnacentral:rRNA from 1 species